ACUGCUUCAGAGUGGAAGUCAAGGGUCAUGCACAAACAUGUCAUUAAAACAACACUUAACCUUCAUUUUCAAAACUGUCCCUUACGAAUAUUAACCAUGGUUUUAUUGUGGUAAAAGUGUAGUAACCAUGUUUUUUUUGGUCAAUUGAUUACUAUGAGCAAAACCAUGGUUUUACUACACUAACCAUGGUUUAACUAUGGUUUUUGAAAACCAUGGUUGUCAAAACCAUUGUUAUUUUGUGGUAGCUAUGGUUUUACUACAGUAACCAUGGUUUUUUUUGGUCUUAACUGUAGUAAAACCAUGGUUAAUUUUCGUAAGUGGUGCUACUCACCGAGUGGUUCUUGGUGUUCGUUGAUGAUUAAAAACAAGUAGUGUAGCGAAAUACAGUUUCUGUGGUGUUUUAUUUGGCAUUUUGUAAAAUUCCAUUGACUUCUCUUGGAAGACUCAUUGCUCGCUGAUAUAUCACUCUGCCGCCGGAAAUGGAAAAGGGUCUGUUUACAUCUGGUUGUAGUUUUUUCGCUCGGUUUCUCUCAAAAGGCUAGCAUGAGCAGAGCAACUGUGCCCUCGGAGUAGGGAACAAAUUUUUCCCAUAUUUGAUGGCUCAGUGACCAGCCUUAGGUUUGAAUUUGAGCUCGAUUGUGACUGUCUAUACGCUAGACACCAAGUUCCGUUCAGCAUCCUUGUUAGGCAAAGUGGUUGUCGCCAUCAAGUGGUCAAGAGUGUGCUAACGCUUCAGACUCAAAUAUAGAGCGGAAGUAUAUACGUGGUUGUGAGGUGUCUGAAAAAAUAGAUCCACUAUAGCAAAUAACACGGAUUGAAAUCAUACAUUGCUCUGAUAUAUUUGUUUUUAAUCAUCAACGAACACCACAAACCACUCUGUGAGUAGCACAGUUUUGAAAAUGAACGUUAAGUGUUGUUUUAAUGACAUGUUUGUGCAUGGCCCUUGACUUCCAUUCUGAAGCAGUCAAGAGACGCUUCUAAACAAGUUAAAAAGUCAAGACACGACCCAUUGUCAAAAUUUCAGUGACCAUCACUGUAGUUCAUCCAAAACAAACCAGAAAUGAGACUCAAAGUGUUUAAUACCGGAAUUAUUCUUUAAGACUUUUUUUCUUUAACAAAGCAUUCACAUAAUUUGUCUAGUAAAUUAUACUUAUCUCGCAAAAGUUAGCUUGUACGGAACAAAGCAUUCACAUAACUCGUCUGGGUAAUUUACUAAUGCCGCAAUAGCUAGCCUGUCUGGAACCGAGCAGAUAUUAAAACACAACACUGUGUGACACUGCAUUACAUGUGAAUGGCCCCUACGCUAAUAGGAUUUUGUUUCUCUCUCCCUGUCUCGUCCUCAAACCCGAGGACAUUGAGACAAACAGACCAGUUCUGGCUGCCGUGGAGGUCAACACACCACUGAUCUACUGGCUGCCCUUCAACGUGAUGCCCAGCCGAUGCCUGACCACCGACGGAACUAGGGCUGCACGAUAAGUCGCAUGUGUUUGUCAGGCGCAUCUCCUCAAUGCAGUGAGGGAGUGAUUCCCCAACAUCGAGGUGGCAGAGAUCCGGGACCUUCUACGGAGGAAGUGCAACAAUGCCAGUUACAAGGCCUCCAGUAGUUCAAAUCAGAGCUAGAUGUCCAUAUAGUACAAGUUGUUCGCAAUUGUUCUCUUCCCGGCAUUUCAAAGAAAGUCGACUGUUUAAGGUUCCCCAUUUUGCCAAUAUCUGUUUUGUGUGUUACUUUUGUGUCAUUAAUAAAGAUCCUUUUUUGAAAUGCA